rnacentral:lncRNA from 1 species
ACCGGCCAUGUGAUUCUGUAGUGACAGAACAAGGUGUAAUGGUUUUAAAUCAGAAGAGGGGAGAUUUAGAUUAGAUACUAGGAAGAAAUUCUUUACUGUGGGGGUGGUGAAUCACUGAAACAGGCUGCCCAGGGAAGUCGUGGAUGCCCCAUCCCUGAAGGUGUUCAAGGCCAGGCUGGAUGGGGCUUUGAGCAACUUCCUCUAGUGGGAGGUGUCCCUGCCCAUGGCAGGGGGGUUGGAAUGUGAUGAUCUUUAAGGUCCCUUCCAACUCUAACCAUUCUAUGAUGCAGUGAUUCCCUGCAGGAAGAGUCACCAAAUAUUGACGUUGUGUGUGUCUGUUUCACAAAACAGCCUGUGGACAAAUCUGCUGAAUUACUUUGUCUGGUUGCAACUUUAAAAAAAAAAAAAAGAAAAAAAAGGAUUAAUCCAGCAACCUUCACAGAACAUUUGUUUUACACCAAGCACAAGAUUUGUUGAAAAAUAAAGUCAACCAUGUAGGAAAUAAACAUUUAUAGAGAAAGAAAUGCUCUCAGGUAUGAAUUAAUUGUCUUUCUUCUUGGGCUACAGUCUUCUAACGUGUUAGGAAUACCAGACACACAACAGUGAAAUCAUCAUCUGAAUUAAAUAUAUUCAUGUCUGGUUUUGUCAAUAUUGUUUGUUCAAAGACCUGAGGAUGGCAGGUUUUAGAAGCUUUUGUGAGUUACCUGUUAAAUUUUUCUCCUGUCAAUAUUUGCACAUGUUUAAAUCAGUGACCUAAACUCCUUCUUUUUUAGUAUGCCAAGGUAAUUUCUUCGUAGAGAAUGGUGCAAGAAGAGGUGUCCUUGCAAUUGCAUUCUGGCAGGAAACGUGGCCUGGCACAGCCAUGGAUAAAAACCUGCUUUUUCGAAGAAUUGCCAGGACGUUUCUGCCUAUCUGAUUGCUUGACUAGAUUUCUUAGAUAACUGAACCAUACAGACAAACUUUUUUUUUUUUUAAAAAGAAAAUAUCCAACAACACAGAAACUCAGUUUUCUAACUGCAUUUGGAAACAUGCUGCACCCACAAAGGUCUAGUGUGCAUGUGUGUGUGUGUCUUGAAACAAAGUUAAUGAUAUCACUUACUGAAUUCAGCAAAAUGAUCAUGUUUGUUGAAAUUGCAGCUAUACUAGAAUCUAUUCAUACAUAAACACAGCAAGUGUGCAGGCAUAUGAACAGAUACAUAUCCCCAAAUCUGCAAAUUCAAAUUUCAACUUAAGGAAAUCAGAAACUCCUGAUUUUGCUUGUGGGUUUUGGUUCUCUGUGUUACACCUUUCAAAGGCCUUGUGAAAGUGCUGCUGCAGUGCAGCAUAACUCAGAGAUUUGAAGUAGAACAAAAAAAUCCCCAAACAAAAAAAAAUGUAACAAAACAAAUC